rnacentral:rRNA from 1 species
GACAGAGGAUGCAAGCGUUUAUCCGGAAUGAUUGGGCGUAAAGCGUCUGUAGGUGGCUUUUUAAGUCCGCCGUCAAUCCAGGCGUCAACCCUGGACAGGCGGUGGAAACUACCAAGCUGGAGUACGGUAGGGGCAGAGGGAAUUUCCGGUGGAGCGGUGAAAUGCGGUAGAGAUCGGAAAGACCACCAAUGGCGAAGGCACUCUACUGGGCCAUUACUGACACUAAGAGACGAAAGCUAGGGGAGCAAAUGGG